rnacentral:rRNA from 1 species
AUGCACCAGAAGGCGGACAAGCAGUCUGCGGGGACACAGGCCACGCUCAAGUUCAACCCCGACGGUACGGUACGCAAUUUCACCUAUGAUCCUGCUCUUCAUAGAGAAGGAAUUUGUCGUUUAAUUGCUUCUAAUGAUUUACCAUUAGGUUUCGGUGAGUCUGAAGGUUUUGUCGAAUACAUUCCAAGUGUGCAUACUCAUAGUUUCAAAUCAGUUUCUAGACAAACUACAUCUAGGGAUAUGAAAAAAUUAUGCAAAACUAGUCUUCAGACAAUAAAAGAUGAUUUUACUACAUGCACUUUUUCAGUCUCUUUAACAUCUGAUAUCUGGAGUGGUCGGGCAAAGCAAGACUACAUUAGUGUGGUCGCUCAUUAUGUUAACAAAAAAUGGGAACUACAGAAAAGAAUUAUAGGAUUCGAAUUAAUUGACGAAGCACAUACUGGUGAAAACAUAGCUCAAGUUGUACUUAAUGUUGUGUCAGAAUUUGGUCUGACCGACAAGAUAUUUGCAGUAACUUUGGAUAAUGCUUCAUCAAAUACAACUGCAAUGGAGAGCCUCAGUCCUCUGUUUUCUGUAUAUGCUGCAUCUUUUUUAUUGCAUCAACGUUGUGCUUGCCAUAUAAUUAAUCUUAUUGCUAAAUGUGCUAUGAAGAGAUGUGAGGGAGCCAUUGAGAUUUUACGCAAUGCAAUUUCUUUUCUUGGUAACUCUAAUCAGCGAAUUAGUAGUUACCAGAGAUAUUGCAUAGCAAUAGAAAAAACUCCUCAUAAGUAUAAUCUAGACAUGCCUGUUAGAUGGAACUCUACAUAUAUGAUGCUUAAGGCAGUCAUCCGAGACGAAGUUCAAUUCUCGGGAUGGAUUAAUGCAAAUAUGGGGAGAGAAUAUAUCACUAAUGAUACUUGGGAAAUUGCUAAAGGUUUGGUCAAGUUUUUAGAAAUAUUUUAUGAGGCAACAGUUUCUUUGUUUGGGGUUUAUUAUCCCACAUCUCCUUUAAUGAUGCACACUCUUGUAGACAUUGCAUCUCACUUGAAAGCAUACGAACAUACUAAUUUAUUAAUGCCUAUGGUUUCUCGCAUGAAACUUAAAUAUUGCAAAUAUUGGGCGAAAAUUCCUAUUUUGUAUUCAUUUGCAUUUAUCUUGGAUCCUAGGGUUAAACUUGAACUGUUUGCUAGUGCACUUGUUGUACUAACUGGGGCCCUAGGGAUAGAUUAUAUUGCUUAUUCCACUGAGGUUCGUGAUAAGCUUUCUGAAGUUUAUGCUAAGUAUGAUCAAAAGUAUGCCGGAGUUCGCAUGCAACGACCUCCACCUGCACCAACCACAGGGAAAAAGAAAGGAGCAUGGAGCAAGUUGUUUGGUUCUACCACCUCUGCAACGAGCUCUUCCACAUCAGGCCCAUCGCCUGUGCUUUUGGGUGGUGGGGAGUUAGCGAAGUACCUCAACAACGAUAAAGUCAACUUCAAUGAAGAGGAAGAGGAAGACUUCGACAUAAUUCAGUGGUGGCAUGAACACAAGCUUACAUAUCCGGUGCUUUCCAUAUUAGCACGGGAUGUAUUAUCAGUACCCGUCUCAUCGACAUCAUCGGAGUCUGCUUUUAGCCUAGCUGGAAGAAUACUUGAGGAAAGAAGAACGAGUUUGACCCCGGAUAUGGUGAGAACACUCAUGGCCGUGAAAGACGGAGAACUAGCCAAAAGGAGAGCCCAACACACCGCUGAAAACAGAGAACUGAUGGCCACGUUCGAAAAUCUUGCACUCGAAGAUGAUGAAGACGAAGAGUAG